AACGAACGCUGGCGGCAUGCCUAACACAUGCAAGUCGAACGAGACCUUCGGGUCUAGUGGCGCACGGGUGCGUAACGCGUGGGAACCUGCCUUUAGGUUCGGAAUAACUCAGAGAAAUUUGAGCUAAUACCGGAUGAUGUCUUCGGGCCAAAGAUUUAUCGCCUUUAGAUGGGCCCGCGUUGGAUUAGCUAGUUGGUGGGGUAAAGGCCUACCAAGGCGACGAUCCAUAGCUGGUCUGAGAGGAUGAUCAGCCACACUGGGACUGAGACACGGCCCAGACUCCUACGGGAGGCAGCAGUGGGGAAUAUUGGACAAUGGGCGAAAGCCUGAUCCAGCAAUGCCGCGUGAGUGAUGAAGGCCUUAGGGUUGUAAAGCCCUUUUACCCGAGAUGAUAAUGACAGUAUCGGGAGAAUAAGCUCCGGCUAACUCCGUG
rnacentral:rRNA from 1 species